rnacentral:rRNA from 1 species
UACAGAGGUCUCAAGCGUUGUUCGGAUUCAUUGGGCGUAAAGGGUGCGUAGGUGGCGGGGUAAGUCAGGUGUGAAAUCUCGGAGCUCAACUCCGAAACUGCACUUGAUACUGCCUUGCUCGAGUACUGGAGAGGAGAUUGGAAUUUACGGUGUAGCAGUGAAAUGCGUAGAUAUCGUAAGGAAGACCAGUGGCGAAGGCGGGUCUCUGGACAGUUCCUGACGCUGAGGCACGAAGGUCAGGGGAGCAAACGGG